rnacentral:rRNA from 1 species
UACGGAGGGUGCAAGCGUUGUUCGGAAUUAUUGGGCGUAAAGAGCGUGUAGGCGGCCAGGUAGGUCUGCUGUGAAAACUCGAGGCUUAACCUCGAGCUGUCGGCGGAAACCAUCUGGCUAGAGUCCGGAAGAGGAGAAUGGAAUUCCCGGUGUAGCGGUGAAAUGCGCAGAUAUCGGGAAGAACACCCGUGGCGAAGGCGGUUCUCUGGGACGGUACUGACGCUGAGACGCGAAAGCGUGGGGAGCGAACAGG